UACGGAGGGUGCGAGCGUUGUCCGGAAUCAUUGGGCGUAAAGGGCGCGUAGGUGGCCUGCUAAGCGUGCGGCGAAAGUCGGGGGCUCAACCCCCGAUCGGCCGUGCGAACUGGGAGGCUUGAGCACUGUAGAGGCAGGCGGAAUUCCGGGUGUAGCGGUGGAAUGCGUAGAGAUCCGGAAGAACACCGGUGGCGAAGGCGGCCUGCUGGGCAGUUUUGCUGACACUGAGGCGCGACAGCGUGGGGAGCAAACAGG
rnacentral:rRNA from 1 species